rnacentral:rRNA from 1 species
CUUGCUGCUGCAUAGAUGACGACCGGCGCACGGGUGCGGAACGCGUAUGGAACCUGCCUCUGUCAGGGGAAUAGCCCAGAGAAAUUUGGAUUAAUGCCCCAUAGUAUUAUGGUGACUCAUGUUAUUAUAAUUAAAGAUUUAUCGGACAGAGAUGGCCAUGCGUACCAUUAGUUAGUUGGUGAGGUAAAGGCUCACCAAGACCGCGAUGGUUAGGGGCCCUGAGAGGGGGAUCCCCCACACUGGUACUGAGACACGGACCAGACUCCUACGGGAGGCAGCAGUGAGGAAUAUUGGACAAUGGAGGAGACUCUGAUCCAGCCAUGCCGCGUGCAGGAUGACGGCCCUAUGGGUUGUAAACUGCUUUUAUACAGGAAGAAACCUAUCUACGUGUAGAUAGCUGACGGUACUGUAAGAAUAAGGACCGGCUAACUCCGUGCCAGCAGCCGCGGUAAUACGGAGGGUCCGAGCGUUAUCCGGAAUCAUUGGGUUUAAAGGGUCCGUAGGCGGGCAUAUAAGUCAGAGGUGAAAGUUUGCAGCUCAACUGUAAAAUUGCCUUUGAUACUGUAUGUCUUGAGUUAUAGUGAAGUUGCCGGAACAUGUGGUGUAGCGGUGAAAUGCAUAGAUAUCACAUAGAACACCAAUUGCGAAGGCAGGUGACUAACUAUAUACUGACGCUGAUGGACGAAAGCGUGGGGAGCGAACGGGAUUAGAUACCCCGGUAGUCCACGCCGUAAACGAUGGAUACUAGCUGUCGGGACUUCGGUUUCGGCGGCCAAGCGAAAGUGAUAAGUAUCCCACCUGGGGAGUACGUUCGCAAGAAUGAAACUCAAAAGGAAUUGACGGGGGCCCGCACAAGCGGUGGAGCAUGUGGUUUAAUUCGAUGAUACGCGAGGAACCUUACCAGGGCUUAAAUGUAGAUUGCAUUACGCAGAGAUGCUUAUUUCUUCGGACUAUUUACAAGUGCUGCAUGGUUGUCGUCAGCUCGUGCCGUGAGUGUCAGUUAAGUCCUAUACGAGCGCAACCCCUACGUUAGUGCUAGCAGUCAGCUGAGACUCUAA